UGAGUAACGCGUGGAUAACCUGCCUCACACAGGGGGAUAACAGUUAGAAAUGACUGCUAAUACCGCAUAAGCGCACGGUACCGCAUGGUACAGUGUGAAAAACUCCGGUGGUGUGAGAUGGAUCCGCGUCUGAUUAGGUAGUUGGUGAGGUAACGGCCCACCAAGCCGACGAUCAGUAGCCGACCUGAGAGGGUGACCGGCCACAUUGGGACUGAGACACGGCCCAAACUCCUACGGGAGGCAGCAUG
rnacentral:rRNA from 1 species